ACGCAGGCGGUCUGUCAAGUCGGAUGUGAAAUCCCCGGGCUCAACCUGGGAACUGCAUUCGAAACUGGCAGGCUAGAGUCUUGUAGAGGGGGGUAGAAUUCCAGGUGUAGCGGUGAAAUGCGUAGAGAUCUGGAGGAAUACCGGUGGCGAAGGCGGCCCCCUGGACAAAGACUGACGCUCAGGUGCGAAAGCGUGGGGAGCAAACAGGAUUAGAUACCCUGGUAGUCCACGCCGUAAACGAUGUCGAUUUGGAGGUUGUGCCCUUGAGGCGUGGCUUCCGGAGCUAACGCGUUAAAUCGACCGCCUGGGGAGUACGGCCGCAAGGUUAAAACUCAAAUGAAUUGACGGGGGCCCGCACAAGCGGUGGAGCAUGUGGUUUAAUUCGAUGCAACGCGAAGAACCUUACCUGGUCUUGACAUCCACAGAACUUUCCAGAGAUGGAUUGGUGCCUUCGGGAACUGUGAGACAGGUGCUGCAUGGCUGUCGUCAGCUCGUGUUGUGAAAUGUUGGGUUAAGUCCCGCAACGAGCGCAACCC
rnacentral:rRNA from 1 species